GACGAACGCUGGCGGCGUGCUUAACACAUGCAAGUCGAACGGAAAGGCCCCCUUGUGGGGUACUCGAGUGGCGAACGGGUGAGUAACACGGGAGUAACCUACCCUUGACUUUGGGAUAACUUCAGGAAACUGGGGCUAAUACCGGAUAGGAGCUCCUGCUGCAUGGUGGGGGUUGGAAAGUUUCGGCGGUUGGGGAUGGACUCGCGGCUUAUCAGCUUGUUGGUGGGGUAGUGGCUCACCAAGGCUUUGACGGGUAGCCGGCCUGAGAGGGUGACCGGCCACAUUGGGACUGAGAUACGGCCCAGACUCCUACGGGAGGCAGCAGUGGGGAAUAUUGCACAAUGGGCGGAAGCCUGAUGCAGCAACGCCGCGUGCGGGAUGACGGCCUUCGGGUUGUAAACCGCUUUCGCCUGUGACGAAGCGUGAGUGACGGUAAUGGGUAAAGAAGCACCGGCUAACUACGUG
rnacentral:rRNA from 1 species